AUUGAGCGCUGGCGGCAUGCUUUACACAUGCCAGUCGAACGGUAACAGGCCGCAAGGUGCUGACGAGUGGCGCACGGGUGAGUAAUGCAUCGGAACGUGCCCAGUCGUGGGGGAUAACUACUCGAAAGAGUAGCUAAUACCGCAUACGAUCUAUGGAUGAAAGCGGGGGACCGUAAGGCCUCGCGCGAUUGGAGCGGCCGAUGUCAGAUUAGGUAGUUGGUGGGGUAAAGGCUCACCAAGCCAACGAUCUGUAGCUGGUCUGAGAGGACGACCAGCCACACUGGGACUGAGACACGGCCCAGACUCCUACGGGAGGCAGCAGUGGGGAAUUUUGGACAAUGGGCGCAAGCCUGAUCCAGCAAUGCCGCGUGCAGGAAGAAGGCCUUCGGGUUGUAAACUGCUUUUGUACGGAACGAAACGGCUCUGGUUAAUACCCGGGGCUAAUGACGGUACCGUAAGAAUAAGCACCGGCUAACUACGUG
rnacentral:rRNA from 1 species